UACGGAGGGUGCAAGCGUUAAUCGGAAUUACUGGGCGUAAAGCGCGCGUAGGCGGCUUGUUAAGUCGGAUGUGAAAUCCCCGAGCUCAACUUGGGAACUGCAUCCGAUACUGGCUAGCUAGAGUGUGGUAGAGGGAAGUGGAAUUCCAGGUGUAGCGGUGAAAUGCGUAGAUAUCUGGAGGAACAUCAGUGGCGAAGGCGGCUUCCUGGACCAACACUGACGCUGAGGCGCGAAAGCGUGGGGAGCAAAC
rnacentral:rRNA from 1 species